rnacentral:lncRNA from 1 species
AUGGGUUUUCUAGUAAUAUGGUGCAUGCUGUUCUUGUUAGUCAUGGGAGGACCUCAAAUAAAUGAUCAGAAGGUGCUUGUUGCAGAUGAUCGAUUGGAUUUAAGUAGUCUUAACUCUGGGAAUGACACUUUGUAUGGCAGUGAGACAUUUGGAAAUCAUACAUCGCCCUUGAAUACAAAUAACCACAACACAACUAUGUCCUCCACUAACCAGUAUCACUCUGAAUCUGAAACCCUAAAACAGAAUGGCUCUGUGUCCAAAGAACCAAAGUCUGGUGUUCAGCCCCUACCAAAUCCACGGGCAUCUCAACCACGUCAGUGCAAACCCAAACAGUCACAGGUGCCCCAGCAACAACUAAAAGCUUCCUGCCCACCCAAGAAGCAGCCUUCAUGCCGACCCUGUCCGCCCCAGGGGCCUAGCUGCUGGCCCUGCCCACACAAGGAGCAGUCUGCCUGCCGGCCUUGCCCAACCUUGAGCUGCCAGCUAAAGCAGCCCCAAAAGCCAGAGUUGUCUGAGCAUGUUGGUGACCCAGCACUGUAUCAGCCUCAGGUGACCCAGCAGACUGGUUUGCAUCCACCCAGUCUACAUCAGGUGACCCAGCAGACUGGUUUGCAUCCACCCAGUCUACAUCAGGUGACCCAGCAGACUGGUUUGCAUCCACCCAGUCUACAUCAGGUGACCCAGCAGACUGGUUUGCAUCCACCCAGUCUACAUCAGGUGACCCAGCAGACUGGUUUGCAGCCACCCAGUCUACAUCAGGUGACCCAGCAGACUGGUUUGCAGCCACCCAGUCUACAUCAGGUGACCCAGCAGACUGGUUUGCAGCCACCCAGUCUACAUCAGGUGACCCAGCAGACUGGUUUGCAGCCACACCAUCCACCCAGUCCCUCUCAGGUGAGCCGGCAGACUGGUGUGGAUCCACCCAGCAUCCCUCAGGAGAGCCGGCAGCCUGGUGUGCAUCCACCCAGCUUCCCUCAGGAGAGCCGGCAGCCUGGUGUGCAUCCACCCAGCGUCCCUCAGGAGAGCCGGCAGCCUGUUGUGCAUCCACCCAGCGUCCCUGAGGAGAGCCGGCAGCCUGUUGUGCAUCCACCCAGCGUCCCUGAGGAGAGCCAACAGCCUGUUGUGCAUCCACCCAGCGACCCUGAGGAGAGCCGGCAGCCUGUUGUGCAUCCACCCAGCGACCCUGAGGAGAGCCGGCAGCCUGUUGUGCAUCCACCCAGCGACCCUGAGGAGAGCCAGCAGACUGGUGUGCCUCCACUCAUUACGCCUCAGGUGACCCAGCAGAAUGGUUUGCAUCCACCUCAUCUGCCUCACUUACCACAGCAGACUGGUUUGCAUCCAUUCACCCAGUCUAUCUCAGGUGACCCGGCAGACUGGUUUACAUCCACACCAUCUACCCAGUCUAUCUCAGGUGACCCAGCAGACUGGUUUACAUCCACACCAUCUACCCAGUCUAUCUCAGGUGACCCAGCAGACUGGUUUACAUCCACACCAUCUACCCAGUCUAUCUCAGGUGACCCAGCAGACUGGUUUGCAUCCACCUCAUCUGCCUCACUUACCACAGCAGACUGGUUUGCAUCCACACCAUCUACCCAGUCUAUUUCAGGUGACCCGGCAGACUGGUUUACAUCCACACCAUCUACCCAGUCUAUUUCAGGUGACCCAGCAGACUGGUUUACAUCCACACCAUCUACCCAGUCUAUUUCAGGUGACCCAGCAAACCAGUUUGCAUCCACACUUUCAACUUCAGGUGACAAAGCAGACUGGUUUACAUCCACAGCAUCCACAUCAGGUACCCCAGCAAACUGGUUUGCAUUCACACUCUCUGCCUCUGGCAAUGCAGCAGAAAGGCUUCCCACCCCUGCAUCCUCAGCCACCACAGGGCCCUCAGCAGGCUGCCUUUCUGCCCCAGUACCCCCAUCCACAGGUUCCCCAGCAGGCUGUCUUUCCAUCCCUGCACCCCCAUCCGCAGGUGCCCCAGCAGGCAGUCUUCCCGCCCCUGUACCUCCAUCCGCAGGUGCCCCAGCAGGCAGUCUUCCCGCCCCUGUACCUCCAUCCGCAGGUGCCCCAGCAGGCAGUCUUCCCGCCCCUGUACCUCCAUCCGCAGGUGCCCCAGCAGGCAGUCUUCCCGCCCCUGUACCUCCAUCCGCAGGUGCCCCAGCAGGCAGUCUUCCCGCCCCUGUACCUCCAUCCGCAGGUGCCCCAGCAGGCAGUCUUCCCGCCCCUGUACCUCCAUCCGCAGGUGCCCCAGCAGGCAGUCUUCCCGCCCCUGUACCUCCAUCCGCAGGUGCCCCAGCAGGCAGUCUUCCCGCCCCUGUACCUCCAUCCGCAGGUGCCCCAGCAGGCAGUCUUCCCGCCCCUGUACCCUCAGCCUCAGCCCAUGCCUCAGCAGACAUAUUACCAAUUCAAGCAGCUUCUGGAAGCCCAAUGGCCCCAACGGCCACUCUACCAGCUCCAGGCCAAGCAGCCACGCCACCAGCCUUUCAUGUCACACUACCAAUCCCGAUUGCCAAGCUACAGUCCCAAGGUGCCACUGUACCAGGCCAAGAAGCUUCAGCACCCCCGCAGAUCAGAUACCAACCUUAACGAUUUCAGAGCUUCAUGUCGGCACAUCAUCCUUGUGUUGAAGCAGAACCUGAGGGGAGCAGG